CUGUCAAUGUAUAUAGCAGAUGUGUACAAGCCUUAGGUCUUAUAGUUCAAAUGAUCUCACACGACCAUUGAACGCAAGCAUACAAACAUUUAGAAAGAAAAAAAGUGGGAAUGAGGCGCCACUUAAUGAUGCAGAUAUAAUUCUUUUAUCUAGGUCCUUUUGGUCACAAAUCGAUUGGAAUAUAUGUAAAUAUAUAUUAGCUAGCUAGCUGAAGAGAGAAGGAUAGAAAAGUUUUUAGCUGAGCUAGCUGGUUUGUUAGAAUUUUGUUAG
rnacentral:misc_RNA from 1 species